rnacentral:rRNA from 1 species
AAUUCGAUUGAGUUUGAUCCUGGCUCAGAUUGAACGCUGGCGGCAUGCUUUACACAUGCAAGUCGAACGGCAGCGCGGGGGCAACCCUGGCGGCGAGUGGCGAACGGGUGAGUAAUACAUCGGAACGUGUCCCGUAGUGGGGGAUAACCCGGCGAAAGCCGGACUAAUACCGCAUAUGCUCUACGGAGGAAAGCAGGGGAUUCGCAAGAACCUUGCGCUAUGGGAGCGGCCGAUGUCCGAUUAGCUUGUUGGCGGGGUAAAGGCCCACCAAGGCGACGAUCGGUAGCUGGUCUGAGAGGAUGAUCAGCCACACUGGGACUGAGACACGGCCCAGACUCCUACGGGAGGCAGCAGUGGGGAAUUUUGGACAAUGGGGGCAACCCUGAUCCAGCCAUGCCGCGUGAGUGAAGAAGGCCUUCGGGUUGUAAAGCUCUUUUGGCCGGAAAGAAAAGAUUUCGUCUAAUAAACGGAGUUCUUGACGGUACCGGCAGAAUAAGCACCGGCUAACUACGUGCCAGCAGCCGCGGUAAUACGUAGGGUGCGAGCGUUAAUCGGAAUUACUGGGCGUAAAGAGUGCGUAGGCGGUUCUUUGUGUCCGCUGUGAAAGCCCCGGGCUUAACCUGGGAAUGGCAGUGGAAACUAGAGGACUUGAAUCCGGCAGAGGGGGGUGGAAUGCCACGUGUAGCAGUGAAAUGCGUAGAGAUGUGGCGGAACACCGAUGGCGAAGGCAGCCCCCUGGGCUGAGAUUGACGCUCAGGCACGAAAGCGUGGGGAGCAAACAGGAUUA